GUGCGGUCACAAAAACACUGUUUUUGGAAUGUUGGCUUUGCCAACGACCCCUUUAGGGGGAACAAACGAGUAAGCGAGUUUGUGAAUAAUUUUAGGAA
rnacentral:ncRNA from 1 species